GACGAACGCUGGCGGCGUGCUUAACACAUGCAAGUCGAACGGAAAGGCCCUGCUUUUGUGGGGUGCUCGAGUGGCGAACGGGUGAGUAACACGUGAGUAACCUGCCCUUGACUUUGGGAUAACUUCAGGAAACUGGGGCUAAUACCGGAUAGGAGCUCCUGCUGCAUGGUGGGGGUUGGAAAGUUUCGGCGGUUGGGGAUGGACUCGCGGCUUAUCAGCUUGUUGGUGGGGUAGUGGCUUACCAAGGCUUUGACGGGUAGCCGGCCUGAGAGGGUGACCGGGCACAUUGGGACUGAGAUACGGCCCAGACUGCUACGGGAGGCAGCAGUGGGGAAUAUUGCACAAUGGGCGGAAGCCUGAGGCAGAAACGCCGCGUGCGGGAUGACGGCCUUCGGGUUGUAAACCGCUUUCGCCUGUGACGAAGCGUGAGUGACGGUAAUGGGUAAAGAAGCACCGGCUAACUACGUG
rnacentral:rRNA from 1 species